rnacentral:misc_RNA from 1 species
UAUUGUAUUGCGUUAAACGCAGAUGCAUUCCAUGAGACUUUGUUACAGUGUGUGUGUAAAAGAUGCAGAACCACAGCAGGAGGACAAGGCCCCCCAACCACAGAACUACAGAGGGUGCACAGGGUGUGAGUGGAUGGAUGUGUUAACAGAGCGUGCACAUGCCCCUGUUUGAGGACCAGCAACAACUCUUGUUGACAAUUCGGUAAUGAUCCUUCCGCAGGUUCACCUACGGAAA